AAACUCUCAUCAAAUUUCCUAAAGAAGCUCGAACAUUCCACCUGCACAGUGAUCCUGUGUGACAUUGACAUUCUUCUGUUAUUAUCACUACUCAAGUCUCACCCAAAAGCCAAAACCUUUGCUUCCCUCUCUCUCUCUCUCUCAAUCAAACCCAUGGCUUCUCCGAAGAAGAGCCCAUCAUCUUCAGAACCAGAGCGUCAGCACUCCGGCUCGGCGAUCGUAGUCCAACCCUCCUCCCCUCGCUUCCCUCCCACCGGCACCCCCACCUCUGGCGCCCAGCGCCGCAUCGGGAUCGCCGUCGAUCUCAGCGACGAGAGCGCCUUCGCCGUCAAGUGGGCCGUCCAAAACUACCUCCGCCCCGGUGACGCCGUCGUCCUCCUCCACGUCCGCCCCACCAGCGUCCUCUACGGCGCCGACUGGGGCGCCACCGACGUCUCCGUCCCCUACGACGAGGCCUCCCAGCAGAAACUCGAGUCCGAUUUCGACAACUUCACCCUCACCAAAGCCACCGACCUCUCCAAGCCUCUCGAGGAGGCUCGGAUCCCCUACAAGAUCCACAUAGUGAAGGACCACGAUAUGAAGGAGCGUCUCUGCUUGGAGGUCGAGCGGCUCGGCCUGGUCGCCGUCAUUAUGGGCAGCCGGGGGUUCGGAGCCACCAAGCGGAGCUCCAACGCCAGGCUCGGUAGUGUUAGUGACUACUGUGUUCACCACUGCGUCUGUCCGGUCAUCGUCGUUAGGUUUUCCGAUGACAAGGACGGAGAUGGAGACGGAGACCACGUCGUAAAGCCGGCGAGGUUUGACUCUGUUCACGAGGAAGAGCCGGAGUUCCAUGACGCUUUGGAUAAAGAACCUCUUUUAUGAUAUGUUUGUUCUGCUGCAAGAACACUGCACAAGGGAUGUAUACUUCAUGAUGAUAUUAGAUACGGAUAAGGUGCGUUGAAAAGAUAGAGAUGGUGAAGUGCAUUCAGAUAUUUAUCAAGUACUCCUGGUUCGUGUGUAAUCAUGUUGUCAUGUUGUAUGGAAGAGUUUGGCAGGGACUGAGUCUACUGAUCUUUGUUUAAACCCACCUUUUCACGGCGUUGCCAUAUGUUUAUGAAGCUCGGGGAUGUUGAUGAAUAAUGGAUGGUGAUUUCAAUUUCAA